UUUUGAAAACACAGUACCGGAACUACUAUCGUAAACCGUUCCGUCAGCUUGACACCGAUUCUCUGCUGGAGGAGCGGAGCGGCAGAGUGCGAGGGGCCCCGGUAGUCUUCCAAUGCUGGGGAGCCGGGAAACAGGAACCGCGGGCAGCGGGGAUGCGGCUGCCCGGCCAGCGGUGAUGCUGAGCCGGGCACACCGCUGGGAGGAGACGCCUCCUGGCCGCGCAGGGUGUCGUCUCACCGGCCUGGUCAGCUGGAAGCAGAGACCGUGCAGGACUUCAGCCCUGUUUGCUGCAGCCAACACGGUGAUCUGGUUCGUGGCCUUCAGCUCUCUCCGAACCUUCAGCCUCCUCAGCCUCCUGCUGGCUCUGCUGGUCGUCACCGUGACCGCCAGAGACUUCGCUCGCUCCAGAUCCACAGGAGCUCACUUAUGGCGCAGCAUGACUGCAAG
rnacentral:lncRNA from 1 species